rnacentral:lncRNA from 1 species
GAAAAGUCAAUGAUAUUUUUAUCAUGAAAAAUUAUUGAGAUAUUUAUAACACGAUAAUGAAACACAUUAUUAAUAUACUUGUAUUUUUUUUUCUCUUGAAGGUCAGGAAGAACCACGUAUGUUAUAUUCUAAAUUUUGUAUGUUGUCGUUAUUAGAAAACGUAUACGAUACGUUACUGGCCAAUUCGAUACCGUGUUACAAUUUCAAUCAUUGUUGAUAUGACAAUAAAUUUCAUCCCGAACCAAACCCUAAAAAUACAAAAUUGUGCGUACCCAACAAUUUUGCACCGACGACGACCGAGUGCGAGAACCGGAUCAUGAAGAAGGAACGAUCCGAAUGGAGCGACACCCUGCCAUCAUCACAUUAGAAUUAUAAUGUAACAUUAUAUAAUAUACAUUUUGUAUGAUGUUUUACUAAAAUACGUACAUAAAAUUUCAAUCAACCUAUAGAAUUUUGUUGAUAGUCACUUUUAGAAAAAGGCAACUGGGUCAAAAUGCCGCACGUGGGGAGAACUUAAAAUAGAACUUUUAGGCACUAUUCGCACCAACAUAUUAUAUCAUUAAAACUUAAAUGAUAAUACGUUUUAUUAUUUUCCUUUCUUUUUUUUUUUUUUUUUUUUUUUUUUUUUUUUUUACAAUAGUUGAAACAAGAAAUUUAUUAGGUAAGUUAUGUUUUUAAUAUCCUAUAUUUCUCAUCGUUUUAACUCUCGAUAGUACCACGAAAUCUGUGUUUUGUUUAACAAUUAUAAUUUUAUGCACUGUAAAAAAUUUUAAUUUAUCAAAAUAACUGUUACCGAACUUUAAUCAUGAUAUUUUGAAUACGUUUUAUCCAAAUGGUUACGAUAAUUUUUGUCUAAUUACCACCAAAAUAUAAUAAUUGUCCUGUUUUAAUUUUUAUUCUAGCUUUCUUUGACCGUAAGCCAAUAUUUGAUUUAGAA